GACGAACGCUGGCGGCGUGCUUAACACAUGCAAGUCGAACGGAAAGGCCCCUUUGGGGGUCCUCGAGUGGCGAACGGGUGAGUAACACGUGAGUAACCUGCCCUUGACUUCGGGAUAACUUCAGGAAACUGGGGCUAAUACCGGAUAGGAAUCCUUGCUGCAUGGUGGGGGUUGGAAAGCUUCGGCGGUUUUGGAUGGACUCGCGGCUUAUCAGCUUGUUGGUGGGGUAGUGGCUUACCAAGGCUUUGACGGGUAGCCGGCCUGAGAGGGCGACCGGCCACAUUGGGACUGAGAUACGGCCCAGACUCCUACGGGAGGCAGCAGGGGGGAAUAUUGCACAAUGGGCGGAAGCCGGAUGCAGCAACGCCGCGGGCGGGAGGACGGCCUUCGGGUUGGAAACCGCUUUCAGCAGGGGCGAAGCUUGUGGUGACGGUACCUGCAGAAGAAGCACCGGCUAACUACGUG
rnacentral:rRNA from 1 species